rnacentral:rRNA from 1 species
GUAUGAACGGCAAAACCUCUUCCAACUGUCUCCCCUCCCAUCCUUUUAAAUUUCCUCCUGUGUGAAGAAGCACAGAUAUAUCAGAAAGACGAGAAGACCCUGUCGAGCUUUAACCACUAAGUGGGCCUUACCCUUUUCAGGCACCACCUAAAGGUUUUGGUUGGGGCAACCAUGGAGAAAAAAGAUCCUCCAGAACAAAUAGAAGAAAGCUUUUCACUAUUUUACGACUGAGAACCAGGAACUGGUAUUCGGAAAAAGUUACCGCAGGGAUAACAGCGUCAUCUCCUCUAAGAGUCCUUAUUGACGAGGAGGUUUGCGACCUCGAUGUUGGAUUGGGGCCCCCUUAGGGUGCAGAAGCUCUAAACGGUUAGACUGUUCGUCUAUUAAAGCCCUACAUGAUCUGA